rnacentral:tRNA from 2 species
GGGAUUAGCUCAGCUGGCUAGAGCGCCUGCCUUGCACGCAGGAGGUCAUCGGUUCGACUCCGAUAUUCUCCACUA